AAGAAAAACCCAACUGCACAGACCUGCAAGGCAGCGAGGCCAACAAAGAAGAAAACAAGGUCUAAAACUGCAGAGAUUGAAAACACCGGUGAGACAGCAAGAGGUGGAGCCGAGCCUUGUGGCCCUGGAGCCGGGGUGUUUUGAGAAAACUAAAGACACAUGGAAAGCCAGUUUGGACUGGCACAGAGGGCACCAGGAGCAGAGGUCCCUGAACAAAGCAUCCUCCCUCCCCUCAAAGAGCCUGGGACUUAAAACCCUCCUGACAGCUGGAGCAAGUUGGAGAUCACAGCGAAUCUUUGGAUGACCUGGGCCCAGGACAGCACUCCUGUCCACCCUUUCCCCCCUCUUCUUACAUUACCCUCAGGUCAUUGGCCAGCUUUGGGUCGGGCGUAUGUGAGUAUGAAAGUGGGUCAGGGCUUGGGGCACUAAUGCUUUCUUCCUUCCUUUGAAUGAUGUGGAAGCAUUUCCAGCCCUGUCCGUGGGUAUUUUAUUAUUUUAUCAAUAAAGCUUUAAAAUUUAGACACUUGGUGUGUUACGUCAUCUCCUCCCUUAACGAUCCUGUGGCCUUAGACUGAUCAUCUGAUGCUUCAGGCAGAUUGGUAACAGAAAUCUGUCACAAUAUGGUGUUUCUAUCUUAUUUUCCUAUGUGAGUUCAUUUGAGGGUGUAGAGGUUGUCUGGUUUCACCAGUUGCUAUAGAGGCAUUUAGUGCACUGGAUGAGGUUCACUACAUGUUGUGAUAGACAUGUAUAAGACUCAUUAAUCUUGAAAGGUGUAUUGUGUGGGGUGUUAAUCAUUGUAGCAUUGGAGAUAUGUCUCCAGGUUUCACACCCCUUGUUCUGGCAGGGGCUGGUUCCGCUUUGAGUUGGUGGGUCCUGGUCUAUGGGGAGCUUUCGUCUCCUGAUGAGCUUGGGGAUUGUUUGAAGGCCAGAAGAGGGGACUCAGGACAGAAAACAGGACUGAAGAUUAGCAAAUAUAAAAAAAAAUUUAAUCCUCAGACUCCAGUCUGAGGUCACGAGUUAGUAGGUUUCUUUUCUGACAAUACCAUUACAACAUAAUUACCCACGUGCUAUGUUUAAAAAUGGGUCAAAUCAGCUGUAAAUCCACAAAAUCAUUUUGUAUUAAUGUUUAAAAUCAAAUUAAUGCACCAUUCAUUUAUGGCUCAUAAAUACAAAGACCUCUGCAUAACCUUGAUAGAGGAAUUUUAAAGAUGACCCUGUUUAAAUUCUAAAAUAUUUCCACAGAAAAUUUUAGAAGUAAUAGCAUAGCUCAAUGCACAAGCCAUUAAGUCAGUGUUUAACCACUGCAUAAGAUUAAAGUGAUUCAGCACAGCAUAACUCUUUCUACAGGCCCUUUUAUACACAAGGAUGUCAGAACUAAUUUAUUAUUUCUAUUAGUAAACACACCCAUUCUGUUAUAUACCCCAGACCAUACAACUUUACCCUGUCCUCCCAGGCUACCACCCUUCCAUCACUCCCUUAAUACACCCUUUACCAAACUAACUUCUCCUAACACAAUCAACUACUACAAACAUCCACAACUAUGUGUAUGUAUAUUAUUUGAGGUGGAAUCUGAAUCUUAUUGAUUGUUGUAAGAUUCUGGAAUCUAAAGCUUAUUGAUUGUUGUAAGAUUCCUUCAUUGUAAUUCAGCUAGGUUCUACAUAUCCAUUUAUUUUCCUCAGAAGCAAUCCCUCCUGCCCUUUCUAGGUCCUUUAAUCACCGAUGGGCAAUGCAAUUCAAUUAAGGCAUACUGUACCAGUGACUCAGGUCCCCAGGAUUUAGACUUCAGUUUCAGAGCUCUGUUUUUUUAAACUAUAUAAGAUUGGUGAGAACAUCAAAAUCUCUUCGCAUUGGUCUAACUGUUCCCACUGAUUUCAAUAGGAUGUUUAGCAUUUUUAACAAUAGUGAGCACUUUUGAAUUAACACUUAUUGUCCCGUUUUUCAUACUUAGGGUGGGAUUAUUUCCCCAAAACUUUGAAUAGAAACCUUCAGACUCUUGACCUAUUUGUAUGCAUUGUCUUAAAACACUUGGAUUUGCUCCAAACUGUUCCAAAUCAUCUCCAGAAAGUCAUUCUAUAAACAUUUGUUCUUCCCAGUGCUAUUUCCAACUUGUUUGGUGAAAUUACUGAUUUUGAAAUAAUAAAUUGCUUUAGGCAACACAUAAUUUCUCCAUUAUGAUUUAUAUCAGGAAAACCAAUCAAGUGAAAAACACUAAAUUAUUUGUGAAUGUCUUUAAUAAAGUAUAUAUAUAUACAUAUAUAUAUUUUACACUAAAAUUUUACAGCAAUAUUAAAUCUCAUUAAAUGCCUCAUAAAGCAAGACAUUAAGUAGAUGACAAGUCAUUCUUCUGCCCUCACUGUCACGAAUCCCUGUUUUUGUUUGCAAAUGGUUAUUUGGCCCAUGUGAUGGGAUAAUGAUAUUAGAUGUGCUCUCAAAUGUUUGGGAAGGUCAAAUGAAAGCUGAAAAAUCCUCUCCAUUGAUGAUUUAGUGUAAAUGAAUUUAGAGUCCUGUUUGACAUAAUCCCCAACUCAGAGACAGUCAGACAUUUCCCGUGACUCAGUUGGAGCUGCCCUCAUCCCUGCACAAGCACAGUUUUGUCUGUGUUUUAGAAUCACUUUGCCGUUUAUUGAGAACAUUUACGAGCAUUAAGUUCCAUUUAGAAGAAAUCAGAGGCAACAAUUAGAGACUGAAUUGAUAGCUAGCAUGGUAACAGAGAUCUCUUCUAAAGUAUUGUCUGGAGCAGCACUUGGCCAGUUUCUGGAGAUUAAUAUAAUUUUAAAUAUCCUGCUAGAUGUAUAUCAUUAAAUGCCCACUGAAGUCAGUUGGAAUAUUUCUACUCACUUCAACGGGCUUUGGAUCAGUCUCAGUGAUAUCAUACCAAGCCAGAUAUUACACAGAUAGCGUUAGGGUCACAUGGAAAAUAUGAGUUUGCUCCUUAUCAGGCAAAUCAGAGGAGCUUGCAAUGUGACUUGAGAAACGACUAGGCAGAGUGUUUUGGGCAGCAUUCAGGACACAGAGGCCAGACUGUAUCACUUUAUGAUGCAGAAAGUGUAUUGUCCUUUGCCCUUAUGUGUCUGCCAAGAUUGUACCUAGUAUGCUGCUUUCAGCUCUGACCAUCUCAUUACCAGAAAGAUAUGGACAAACUGGACUGAGGUCAGAGAAAAUUAUGGGGAGUCUAAUUAAUGAGGUAAUUAAAAGCAUUGAUUAGUGAAGUAACAACUAAAGGGUGACAGAUAUCUACAAAUGUGUGAAGAAUCAAGGAGGGAGAGGAACUGUUUAGCAUGGGUUCAGAAGGGUAUAAUUAGAAGUAAUGGAAUGAAGUUAGGAAAUGAGAAAUAGGAAUCAGAAAACCAACUCCCUCAUAGUGCUAUAUAGUCUUUAAGGAAACUGCUUCACUCUCCAGUACUACAAUGGACAGCACACUUGAAAAACUGAUUAAAAAUCCUGCACUUGCAAUGGGAAGAUUAAUUGACCUAUUGGUUCUUCUUUAUUUCUAGUGUAUUACUCUAUGGCAUAAGAAUCAAUGAUGAUCCAUCAGUUAGGUUAGCAUCUGGCUUACUUUACAUUUAUUUUAAAAUAUGCCUCCUGCCACUCACUGUGUCCAGUAUACAGUGCCAUUCAAACAGGGCCUCGAGAAACUAAUUCUUCCAAAGAGUACAGGUUCUGUCUUGGGAACAAGAAAAUGUGUUUCUAGAUGCUGACUAUGUUAUCAAGUAAACCACGUCAAUAUGAGCCCCUGUCUUCAGAACAAUGAUUGUCCUGGGAAGAACACUGAGGCUUUACAAGCCUGUCACUUAAAAACAUCCCCAUUCCGUUUUGACACUGAUUUGGUGCAGCAUCGGAGAUUGAAAAAGAAAGCUUUGCAAAGCAGCAUCCCUGCAGAACUCAGCAAAUCUUAAACGAGAUGCUGGCAUUUCUAAACAGAAUUUCUGUGUUUUGUAUCAAUGAUUCUCAACCUGGCACAUGGGUACACCAAUCGAUACUCAUCAUCAGCUCUGAUGGGGUCAGGAGCAGUGGAGACACCAUCUGGGACCAGGGAGGAGAAAUCCCAGGUGGGAGCAGCUAAGGCAAUGUUUCACAUGACCCCCGUUAUUUCCUUUGAUCUCAGUGUGUGCGGGGGGGCGGGCAAUGGGCAGUUUAUUUUCUCUUCCCAGCCUUCUUCCUUGUGCUCAAUAUAUUGGGAGGGGUCACGUGCUGAUCUGGGACUAGGACUCCAGAACCUGUCCUACCUAGUGUUGCUGCCACUGGGUGGUGGGUGUGUUGCUGAGUUCAGGUGAUCAACUCCCAUUUGGUGGUGGAGUGGGUAUAUGUGUGCAGGGUUUGAUACCAUUUGAUGACUAGACAGGGAAGCCAUUCAGGCUUCCUGUGUCAGCCCCUCUCUUUAUCUAGUUGCCAGAUCUCGGAUGAUACCAGGAGCUGAGCUGAUUGCCAGUUCUGGGGCCUAGAACGGAUUUUUAUCAUAUGCCAACAAUGACAAAUUGCUGUGGUGAUUUUUUCACCUUCCAUCCAGCAUUCAGGAGCUCUGGAUUGGAGGGGGAGAGGUAAAUAGGCUUGUUCCAGUGCAUUUCCUGCGUUAGAAAGUGUCCAACUGAGGUCCCUGUAACUCAGCAUUGGUCACAGGCACAGCAAUGCCUCUGUGUCUCGCGCAGCUAGAGGCUCACCUCAUCUUCUCUCUCCUACCUCCAGUGAGAGGAGGUGGUUGGGACUCUAGGUUCCAGCUAGGAUCCUCUGGCAGAACUGAGGAUAUAGAGGGAGCACAGCCUUCAUGCUCACCCUCAGGGACCAUUCAGAACUGCACUGCAAAAUAAUAGCAGGCAGGUUUGAGGUGGUUACCAGAGUUUGGUAAUAAUCUAAAAAUAUAAUUGAAGUAUCUGAAUUUAACUAUAUUAUCAUGUCCACAUCAAUGGUUCAAUUUGCAAUAUCUUGAAUGCAUUAAACUGUUUGCAAGUAAUAUCCAUAGGAAGAUUAUUACCCCAAAUACUAGAAGUUUCUACUAAAAAUCUCUUCCAUGUACUAUAGUGCUCAGAGGAGUGCAUACUCAGACAAUUUGGGGUGAUGUAGCCAAACAAAGGUCUCUGAUGUUUUUCUAUUUAUAUAUCUUCAUACAUGAGUUUGUUUAUAUUUAAAUAUACAUAUUAAAAUUAGUUCAACCAAAAAAACUCACUGAUUCAAAAGUUAAAUCCACAAAUCACUUUUGAGAAUCAAAGAAUUUGAUCUUUGCUUGCUGUACAGGAAUAAAAAAGUAAAUACUGGAGGCAUAAAACAGCGACAUUUUAAAAGAAGGAUAAUAAUAAAUGUAUUAUUUCUAUGCAAGGCUAUCCAACCUGAUAAAAUUCAGGAAGAUUAGAGUUUAAAAAGUUAGUAAAUCAUCAGAAAAUCUAUUUCUUCAAUAUAAAAGCCCUUUGACCUGAUGCAAGGACCACUGGAAUCAGUGAAAAGAACCCCAUUGAUUCCAAUGGGCUAUGGAUUAGACCCAUUAUGAACAAAAGAUAGAAAUAACAACUAAAGGAUGCAAGGGGGAGGAGGGCCAAGAAAUAAGGGGAAUAAAAGUCACACUUUCAAAUAUGGCCUUUAAAAACCACCUAUGUAGGCUUUUGUGUACUGACCAACUUGUUGGGUAGCCACUCUGUGUACACAGUUUGCACCUGCAGAUAGAUUUUCAGAGGAACCUAAAGGAAUCAAGCUCCCACCUCCCAGUGCAAUUCAGUUGGAGUUGGGCAUCUUACUCCGUUGGGCUCUUUUCAAAAAUCUCAGCCACAAUCCAUUGCACAGGCAGAACUGAGGACACCAGUGUCAGAAUCUGGGUUGAGAUCACUUUGGGGAAUUUAAUCCAAGAGACUCAGCAACAGCAAGUCUCAACAUACUUUCCCAAAUGCAAAAGGUAGUCUCCGAAAACAAAUAUUAAGCACCUAAAAAUAGGAGGUUGGGGAUGUUAGCUAGAAUGCCUUUUUCUAAAAUAUAUCCAUUUACAUAAAGACAAAUAACGUCUCAAACUCUCCUUUUGUUUGUGAGUCUGGAGUAAAGGUGGGACAAGUCAUUUUGAAGAGUUGGAGUACUUCCAAAAAUUAGGGUGAAGUAAGGGUUACAUGUCAGCAUAUUGUAAAGCACUGUAUCAGAAACCCAGAGUCUGUCCUCAUUCCCACCGAAUAGGCACUGUUCGCCAGUUUAGCUAAGGGCAUUGGCAACAAUGUUUGAUACACAUCUAAAGGGCAAAUGCAGCACUGGUCAUUACUCCUACCCCUGGCAGACAGACAGCUGAAGGGAUUCUUUCAUAAAGCAGCAGCGCUGGAAGUCUAUCAUCUUCCUCUUUCACCUCAUUUCCCAAACCACAUACCACAAGCACCAAUUGACAGCAAAUCUUACUGAGUGUGCACUAUUCCGGAGAGAGAGAAAGCUAAAGAGAGCUUUCAGGAGAACUUCCGUUCUCUCUUUUCAAUGAAUUCAAGAACUGAGUUUAAAACAAAUUUAUAUAUAAGACACAAAACCUUCCAUCUAACCUUUCUAGCUGGCUCAAAACCUUUGGUACAAGGCUAUUAAUCAGGUCCCUGCUGAGGCUUUCCUCCAGCAGACUUGCUACCCACACUGCAAACUUCCUAGCCACAGCCCAUUUUCUGAAGGCUUGCACUUCCUAGACUCUCUGCCAGCUAAGGAGAGUCUCUCUCUGAGUUUAGGCUGUCCUUCCUAAUUCCAAGGAGGCCUGGCUCCAAGCCACAUGCUCCCAUCAUGUGACCAGACUCAUUUCCUUCUCCUGGGGAAGCGGACUACAUCUGGCACUGGUGAGACUGAGCCUUCCUCCUAAAGGGCCAGCUUACACUUUAACAACAACUGUUUCAUGCCUGUGUAACUUUACUGAAGUCACUCACUCCCUGGUAUUUCUGCUUUGAAAUCAAUGGAGAAAUGGAUAUAAAACUGGAGUAGUACAGUGGUGAAUUGGGCCUUUAUUUAGUCGUGCUGGCCAUUGCUACAGUCAGUCCCUCAUUUUUAUGAGCACAAACAUUCACACCUCUUGUCAAAAAUAUUAAAAAGGGAACAAAAGGAAUAAGGUAUCUUCCUAAAAAUUAAUUAAUCCUGCAUCUUUGUUUCUUUCCUUCUCCUAUCGCUAGACACAUGGAAAUGAAGGGAGCACUGUCAUCCUUCAGUGCUCCAGAUGGUAGAAUUUUGAAAACAUGCCACAGGCUGAUUGAAUUGGCUUGUGGCACUAAAACUUUAAACCUUGAAAUUCCUGUCUAAUUUCAAAGUCUUUCAAAAUGAACAGCUAUAAAGAUAAAAGGGUAAUUUGAAGCCACAGUUUGUUGGGAACAUUCUGUAGGUACAUUAGAACAUUCCAUUGAGGAUCCUUGUUAGCUAGCGAGUUUCAUCUGGUUAAUUUGAUAACAAUAUGGGAAGAUUAUAACAUUUGCACAUCCACUUGCCUGCGGACAUGGCUUAGGCUACAUAGACUAAACCCAGGAAUGCUGGAGGUAUUUUCUUUCUUGAAUAAAAAUUUAGUAACUACCUAAAUUCAGGAUCUUAUUGUUUAACUUUUAUUGUACAUUCCAGAGGCGAGGGGAAAUAGUUACUGAGAAUCCUGCUAGUUGUGGAUUUUUCAUGGCAUUCAUGAUUUUCAAAUGCUAUAAGUAUAGUUACAUACAGGAGAUGCUCAGCACCUUGCAGGAUUGGACCCUGUACAUGUGAGCAGUGACCAUAUCAUAGCAAUAGCCUGGCUUUAGGAUACUCUUUCCUAUAUUUUUACACAGUAGCACCAAGGAACCAAACAAAUGGGUGGUAAAUGCUAAAUUGCUUAUUCACAUGCCAUUAAAUAUUCCAUGUUAGUACUCCAGUCUUUUAAUUCUUAUUCAUAUCUGACUAUGCAAGUCUCAAGGAGCCUCUUCAAAACUUAGCCACACAGAAUAGUAUUAAAUAUAAUAUCUAAGAAUGAAAAGCUGACAUUGAUUCAUCCUGAAUUUGGAAGAUUUUUCUAUGAUCAGACAGUGAUUAUGAGAUACAACUGCUUUUACUUUGACAUAUCUGCUAGGAUAUAUCAACUUGAGGGAAAGAAUACACAAAAGUGGAAGCUUGCAUUAAGUAAAUGGUAACUGUUAUCUGCAUGCAUUUUUAGUGGUUGCCGCAACACUGUUCAAUAUUAUGUUAUGGAAAGUUCUCUGAAGGAGGUGGUGUUUGUUUUUUAAUCAUUAUGAUCAUUUGGGAGGCAGUGGGUGAAUCCCAGUGAGAAACUCCACUAUAGUGCAUAACUAAAGGCUUCUGGGAAUCCUGGCUUACUUGACAGCUGGAAAAUGAUUUGCAGGGUCUUGUGGAUAUUUCACAUCUGUAGAAGAGGUCAUUGGCAUAUAAUGAAGUGUGAAAUAGAAAACGUUAAUCUCAUUUUACCUAGUUUUUCACUAGGAAAUUAUCUCUCCUUGGGCAAUGGAUAGUGCCAGACAAAUAUGGAUGAGUCAUGAUGAAGAAGUAUUACAAAUACCAUACCAGCAUAUUAACCGAGAAUCAACACUACACAACGGAGAUUGACAGUGGGAUGGCCCUAUACUUGUCCUCGAUUGGUUGGAUAAAACUCUGGCAUUCAACUGGUAUCUUGUCUAUCUCAGUGCUCCUGCUGUUACUACCAUGAGAGGGGCUGCAACAAUGAUACAAAUGAAAUCUGCUGAAAGCAAGCAGACCUACAAGAACCAACUCUGGAAGAGACACCUGAGUGCUGCAGAAACCAGAAGUGAAAUCCUGGCCUUACUGAAGUCAAUGGAAGUUUCACCCCAGGAUUUCACCCCAUCUGCCUUUUCUGAAUGGCAUAUGUUACCCAACCUAGGAUAAUAUAAUUUGUUAAACAAUGUGUAUAUAAAACUGGAAAUUAAAAACAAGGAGGAGGAGGGAAAGCUGCAUUCUGCUACUCACCAAUUAAUUAGCAAGAUAAAUCUAUGUAUUAACAUAAUCAGUGAGCAAAAUAAAGGAGAAAAUAGGAAACCUAUGUUACUUUCAAUAUUUGGAUACAAACAGAAUUCUUGAGGGUGCUUUAUGAUGUGUCAAAUUGAACUGUAAGAAAGUGAACCUAAAUCAGUAGGCAAGAGAUUUUCAAAGACACAGACAGCAGUUAAAUAGCUAAUUCUCAUGGACUUUCCAUAGGCAUUAUGUGCUUAGUGGCUAGUUCUGCCUUUCAAAAUCUAUGGACACCUAUGUGGUGUUGAAGAUCCCAACCCAUAGUUAAAGUUUCUGUAUUUCAUUUAUGCAGGGGGUGCUGCAUGCCCACUUACUCAUUCCUGGAACAGACCAAGGCCAGUUCUGGGGAGGGGGCAAGCAGGACAAUCACUCAGGGCAUCAACUCCCAGGGGCAUCAAACUCCUGUACUGCUCAGUGUUUCCUCUCCUCCCUGCACUUUGCUCCUGAGUGGCCAGCUCAGCUGCUCAAGGCGGGGAUGGGGAUGUUUUUCACCCUGGCCAGCUAAAUGGCUUAGAUGACUUCUGGAGCAGAGGGUGAGUAGGAACAGGCAAUGGCAGGAGCUUUGCCGCCCAUGAGAGUUGGAUGAAUAAUUGAUUUUUCAAUUUGGUGGCAGUUCUAAAAAACACUGGGGGGAAAAAAACAGGUUAGGGAUUAAAUGAAUCUGAAUUUUUUCAGAAUUUGUGGUGAAUUGAAAAAAGUCUGUUCCAGAGAAGGGAUUUGAACCAGAAUCUCCCACAUUCCAGGUGAGAGCCGCUGGGCUGUUGGUUACAAAUUGUGGGGGGAAGGAAUCAGCACCACCAACUGCUACCUUUUGCGAGUGGCCAGAAUUAUUACUAUCAAAUUUGCAAUUAUUUUGAGGUUGACUAAAACUGCAUUUUUUGUCAAGUAAACUAUUCAUCCGAAAAACUUUGGCCAGCUCUCCUGGCCAGUCCAGCUGAGCUGGAGCAAGGGGCAGUAGUAAAUUACUACCACUCCCUCUCUCCAUAAAAUAAGGAGGAAGGAAAGUAAGAACUGUGCCUCAGAGCCAUGUCUCUGAGGCACAUGGCUUCCUCAGCUACCCCUAGGGUGUAAGCUUUGAUAGCUAAAAACCCACUUCUUUAGAUGCAUGGGGUAAAAAUUACAGGCAAAUUACAGGUAAAUUUAUAUUGGCAUACACACACGUGGGUAUCUGUAAUUUUAUGUAUGUUAUGCCUAUAUCUGUAAUUUUCACUCCAUACACCUGAAGACAUGGGUUUUCUACCCAUGAAAGCUUAUGCCCAAAUAAAUCUGUUAGUCUUUAAGGUGCCACCAGACUUCUUGUUGUUUUUGUGGAUACAGACUAACAUAGAUAGCUACCCCUCUGAUACUUAGUACCCCUAAGGUGGUGAAGCUUACAUAUCAUCUCUUGCUCUGGGCUAUACCUAAAGUCACGAGACGCUAUACGAACUUAUUUCUCACCUAUCCUUGAGAAUAACAUACCAGGAUUUUGGAAUAAUGCUAACUAUUACACCAUCUCCUUUUGUAUUGAGUUAAUAUAUGUGGGAUAAAAAAUAAGAAUGAAAAAAAGAGUAAUAAGAAUACUAUAGAGUCAGGCUAGACAGUAGCAGAGGAAAAAGAGUCAGAGUCUAAACCCUCUUUUUGAUUUCUAUGAAACUGGAAGUAACAAUAAAAUUUCUGAAGUAUAGUGUAUGUUCUGUCCUAGUUCUAGUCAUGACCAGAGAAAGUUUUUAGAAUAAUUCAAUCUGACAAAGAAUAACGGAGGAUUUCUUUAAUUCAGUGUUACACUUACUACAGAAUGCUCCGUGAUCUUCCACAAUCAAGUUCUAGAGCACAUGAAAACUCCUAUACACAGGAAUUUAUGGAAUAGGUAACAAAAGGUCAGCUUAGUCCCAUUUGCCCUGCCCCUUGCUUGUUAAAACUUCUUUCAUAUUAUGGCCUUACUUCUUCCACUGUUUCACACAUUCUGAGCAGUAGGAUCAUACAGACAGAAAAAAAUUAGAAUGAAUUUUGUUUUAAAAGAAAAGAAUAUCACAGCAUUAAAAUAACCCAUGGACUAAAAGUGAAUGUUCGCAAACCUAUCUUACCACUGUUUUCCAUGGGAGCAUAGUGAAUGUGGUUUAGUUACUCUGUUUAAUUCUGAAUUUAGUUUAGUUUCGUAUGCUUGUUUUGUAGGUUUAUAUUAUAAUGCCGCCUGCAGUGAUUGAGUAUGAAUACCAAAUUUGAGGCAGACUGUUGGGACCCAUGGCACAAAUGCAAAAUUGGUUUUGAACUCUAUACUUAGGUUUCACCAACCAAGUGUAACAUCCUCAGGCACGAGAACAACCUAAACAUGGAGUCACAGACAGUCUCCUUGGGUACUCCAAUCUAUCUUCCCACACAGGUGGGCAUACCCUUGUGAGAGAUGAUCCCUUACACCAAGAAUCAAUCAGGUUAUUAUCAGUCCUAAAGGACCAGCCACUUACCCCAGGACAAUUGCACCUUAGAUCUCACACCAAAGACAACGCUUGUAGCCAAUCCUAUAAUAAACAAUAUGAGAAUUUAUUAAAUAGGAAAAAAAAACAAGAAAGUUAUUUACAAGGUUAAAACAGGUAAUACAUGCACAAAUUAUUUACAACCUUAACUUUCAAAGGAUAAUAGAAACUUCUAUAAUAAAUAAGCUCAGUUUGAACUUUAGGGCUAGCCUUGGCUAAGCAGCUGGGGAUCGCUUACAUGUGCCUAGAAAACCUUGUCCCCCCCACUUCGCCCCCCAGGGUCCAAGCAGCAUAGAGAUACAGUUCCUUCUUGUAAGGGAUUUUAUCCCCUUCCCCCCCUGUGCUCUAAACUGUAAACUCAGCCACUUGCAUACUCAUCUUCGGGGGGGGGGGGUGAGUGGGGGGCAGAAUAACACAUGUAUUUUGUCCUCUUUAAUGCCACACAAUAGUCUGUCUGGUGUUGAUAGACCUUUCCUGUUGGGCAGGAUGUAACCCUUUCUGUUGGUGAUUAGCAUUUGACUCUUGCUAAUGUCUCUCUCCUGUCUGGUGAUUUACACAGUUACAGAGGUUCACAAUACAACUGCUCAAAUGUUACCUUACAAUAUGGGGUACAGACGGUAUAAGUGAGGAUGCUACAUGCAGCAACUAACAAGCAUUCGAUAAAGUUUAAACACUAAAACCAUUCUUAUAAUAAAAUGCUUACUUUAACAAUACUAACACACAGGUGAGACAGACCAGUCUCAACUGAAUACUGACAAAUACAUAAUUGGAAUCAGAGACCGUGGCAUGAACUGGCACUUGCUCUGCCAGCAUCACAAUAAUUGUGGGAGGAUUUAUGAAGAUUUAUUAAGGUCCUUCCUUGACAGCAUCGAAAAGGAACAAAAAAGGUGUUGCAUGCUCACACUUGCAUUUAUGAGAACAUUGCUGAAAUAUAUUUUGGCCUGGAUCCUACAAACACUUAUGCAUAUGUGUAAUGUAAUAACAUGAUACAUGUGAGUAGCCCCAUGGAUCUGAAAGAGACCACUCAAUCAUAUGAAAAGGUAUGGACAUUCUUAAGUUGUUUGCAGGAUCAGGGCUAUCAAUAGUAUACAAACACUAGAAAUCAGCCUUUUCUGAGAAACAAAUGCAUAAUAAUAUGUAUUAUUUAAAACCUUAGUUGGAGUAUGGUUGUGGAAAUCUAGCUACUUAACCCAGAAAGUUGGACAAAUAGGUUUAGUCGUGUGCAAAAUUCAUAAUUAUGUUUUAUUACGUUUUCAAAAAAUUAAGGCAUAUCAUCUUUCAUGAGUUACCAUCCCCCAAAUUCUGCCUUGUUCACAACUUGUAUAAAUUGACUAUUUUUGCAUUCAAAGUGUAUAAAAACAGAACUGAUCUGGCAAAAGCCACCACUACUUGGAAAAAAUUACUAGACUUUAGCAGUUGAUUCUGCGCAAAAGGGCCAAUAUGAAGAUUUAGAAUGAAGUUCUGAAAACUGAAUUUUUGGCAGUCUUACAUUUUCCCACUGAAAUAGCAUUAGAGUAUAGUGUAAACAGACUGCUUCAGCUGACACAGGAAAACUACUUUUUAAAAGGACAUUUGCCUUCCAUUGUCAGUGAAACACAUUCAUCCUUUGGAGUUUAUGUGCUUUCAUAGAUUUAGAAUGCGUUGCAGGACGAACUCAUCUCUGUUAGAUGGGUGUAACUUCAUUGUAGUCAAUAAAGUUACAAGGGGUUAAAAACAGAACUUAAUUUGGAAGCAAAAUGUGAUUCUGUUUAUGUUGCAAACCAGCCAUUCUGAUUUUAGUAGAAUGGUCAUGGGAUAUGUCCAACAUAUACUUUAUAAAACACUUCAUUAAAGGAGCUGUUCUAAGGGCCUCAGAAAUAGUGGCAUGACUGCGCCCUCAUACAGUUUAAUUCAAUUGCAAUUGAUUCCGUUACAAGUUGAAAUCAUAUAUUGGAGGGAAAAAUUGUGUGUCGUGUUCUCCCCACACUGAGCAAGUUUAAAAAUAUGUAUGAGGUGUGUUUUGGCAUGACUUUUCUCUCGUAAAAAUCCAGUAGAUUUUUUUGUCCAACAGACUUCCCAGUAUCUGAUGUUCAUUCAUAGUGAUUGCAGAUGAACAUCUGGUCAGUUUAUAGAAAUGGUACAAUGUCAUAUUGAAGCAGUAUUUUCUUGGUUUGAUUUUGUCAUCUGCAAACUUUAUCAGUAAUGAUUCUAUGUUUUCUUCCAGGUCAUUGCUGAAAAUGUUAAAUAGACUAUAGCCAAACACCAGACCCUGUAGAACCUGGAUAACAUGCACCUUGCUCAGUAAUGAUUCCCCAUUUACAAGAGUUGUCAGGUAGCCAGUGCUUAAUUCAUUUAACACAUACCAUGUUGAUUGUGUAUUCUUUUAGUUUCUUAGUCAAGAUGUCAUGAAGUAUCUAGGCAAAUGCUUUACAGAAACCAAUGUAUUUUACAGCAUCUCUUUAUCAACCAAACUUGUAAUCUCAUCAAAAAAUGAAACCAAGUUAGUUUGACAAGAACUUUUUUCCCCGUUGGCACGAAUUAUAUUAUCUUUAAUUCUUUAUUGAGUCCCAUAUCAGGCAUGCCAUUCUUUUCCUGGGAUUGAUAUCAUGCAGACAGGCCUAUAAUUACAGGCAUCAUCCCAUUUACCCUUUUUACUGUGAGAAAAUGGCCAAUGUUGGUAUGGUGGGUCCCACACUUUUCUUGGUGGCAGGCUUAGAGGCUUUUCUAGGCCCCUGCUCUUGGGGCACAGAUGGCCCCACUAGUGGCCCAGGAAGGUUGUAGAGGAGGAAGUGGGGGAGGGGUCUGGGUUUGCGCCUCACUCUGAGCCCUAGCCCCUCAAUCCCUGCGGGUGUCUUACUCUCUUCCCCUUUGGGUAGGGUUGCUCUCAGUCCUUGACACUGGGAGGGGGAGUCUCCCUGCCCUGCUUGGGCAGAGUACCCUUCCUUUGGUUCGCUGGUCUCUCAAUUCUCAGCAACAUACCUCCAAACUUCAGUCCUCCUGCCUUCCUCUCACACACUGACUGCCUGAAGUUUUAUAAGUUCCUGACAGGGCCUUAAUUGACUACAGGUGCUCCAAUUAACCUGUAGCAACCCUCCCUAGUCUACAGGGAACCACACCUUAAAUAGCCUAGGGCUUAUAUAUGCUCCUUAUACCACUCUCCUCAGCUAGCACUCGCCCGCAUCCCAGUGCUCAAAUGGACCACUCUCUUACUGCUCCCUGGCCGUGCUGUAUCACUUCACAUUACAUAUUGAGACAGCAUUAGCUUUCCUUUAGUUGUCUAAAAUCUUGGUAGUGUUCCAAAACCUACUGAAAUUCAAUAUUACCAUCAAAAUAGCUCUUUGGCUAUUCUUUAAAACUCUUGGAUGCAAGUUCUCUGGACCUGCUGAUUUUACAAUGUCUAACUUUAUUAGCUGCUGUUUAACAUCCUCCUGAAAUACUGAGGAUCUCUGUGUUUAUUCUAGAUAAGUAAUGAGUGACUUCCCAGGAUAGGGUCAAAGAGGUGCCACAAACCUAACGCAUAUCAAGCAGAGGGCACUCAUAUACCUUUUAUAUUUGGGAGAGGCUUCAGGCAAUAAGCAUUGUAUAACACAACUUAAUAUACAUCUCUAUCUAGAAUUAAUAGCAAUGUUCGAGACCAACACAUCAUUUCCUCACAGUAAUAUCAGCUAAAUAGAGGCCCUAAUCUUUCACUCAUUGGUUUCUAACCCCAUUUUUUCUUGUUAGGUCACAUGUAAACAUAGUUUAAUAUAAAAUAAUCCUUGAACUAAAAGAAUCCUUUGGGAUAUGAAUCCUCAGAAUUUGCUAUUGUAAAAUGAGGGUUUGUUCCCCCCUCUUUGCAUGUUUAAUCAGCUCUCUAGAUAGGCUGGAAAAAGGUCAAUGAAGAGGGCCAACGGUUCUUUAAAAAUAAUAAAACCAAGUCCCUUAUACAGCUUUUUUAAGACUUUUGGAUUUUCAGUUUUGCAUUUCUGGAAGAUAAUCUUAAAGUCAUUGGGAAUUGUUAGAAGUAGUCAGACAGAUUUUAGCUUAUCCAACCCCCAUUUGAGCCAAACAUUAUGAUAUAUUUUGUCUAAUUAUAUAUCUUAUGUUGGAUAUUAUACUUAUAGAGCAGUAUUCCAUACUAGCUAGACCACUAUCCACAGUUACUGCUUUUUAUAAUAAUAUAGCAAAGCAUUAAUGUAACAAAACUAAAGAACAAAAAGCACAACAAACUGAGUUUGUGCUGCCAAGAACAUGAUUGGGUGAGACCACUCUAACAUGAGGGGAGUAAUAAAAUAAAAUGACCGACUUUGGCUCACACAGUUGCCAAAAUGACAAGGAAAAAUACAUUUUAAUGUAGCUUUCUUUGCGCCCCACCCACUCCAUGAAAUACUUAGUGAGGUUUUUUGGAACAUCAAUGGGGAUAGAUUUACAAUUAAUUUACUAGGUAAAGAUAGAGGCAAUUAUGCCACAAGAACAUUCCUGUUGUGCUUUAUAUGAGUGUGAAUAACUUGUCUGCAAGUACUUUAUUUUUGUCCCUGUGAGUCACUGCUAUUUGUUAGUUAAUAUCACCUGUAAAUUUAAUCAAGGAGCUCUGCUAACUACAGUAGGGAGUAGGGAAUUAAUUUUAGUUGAACUUACUUAAUGGAAAGACUCAAUAAUUGUUUACAUUAUUGCAUACCUGUGAUGGAUAAAGUAGGAUUUUUUUUAGUAAAUCUGUAUAUUUGCAUGAUUUGAUGUAGACUUCCCAACAAUGUCAUGGGAAUCUUGUUAUGCGAUUCCUAUGUUAGUUUUACAGGCUCUGGAAGUCCAGAUAGUUCAGGUAAACUACUUUUGUAACCCACUAAAUAUGUAUGAGAUACUUAUGUAACCCAUUAAAGUUUGAUUACACAAGUACCCACGAAAAUUCCAUUUUACUGCAGGAAUAGUGAGCGGGUUCCAUCUGUUUUGACAGUGGAACUCCCAUUUGUGGAUACUAACAAAUAUGAUAAAUAUGCAAUUUUGGAUAGCUGUGGACGCCCAUAUGCUGAGUUGCUCUAGUUUGGAACAAAGACACCAGAAUAUAAUAAAGUUGCUCAGACUGAAAAAACAAAAACAAAAAAAACAAAAAAAAAUCAAAGUUUGUAAGAAGACAAUGAGGGUUAACUACAACUCUUCAUAAAUCUAAAUGCAAUUUUAUCAUUACAGCAAAUUCUAUGCAUUUCUUCAGUACCAAAAGGU